GGUUUUCAGACUUCACAGCUAGCAUCCAAAAACUUGCAUAACAGCACCUAGCUCUCUCUCCUAAACCCUCUGGACGUGCCGAUAAGCUACAGAAAUCACGCUCUCAGUUCUUAAAAAAACAUAGUUCCUUCCAUUCCAUAUCUACUCAAUCAGUCUUGCCAACUUCUUACCGGAACGGGGAUGUACUACAGUUUGGUCGAAGAAGGGGCUCUAUGGAAUUUACAAACGCCAAAUAAGCCCAUGGUAAAGAACAACAGAAGGCAUCUACCAUAGCAAGGACAGUGAUCAAACUCUGCUGAGGGGCUUCGCAAACUAAAGGAGAGCGUUCGAUUACUAGUUGGGUACGGGAAAGGUGGUUGAACCUUUUAGAAACUAUACUUGAGCCACCAGAUCAAACUCUCAAAGUAAGAAGAGCGAACUCCGGUCAGUCCAACGUUGCCACCUCUCCGGCCCCGGCCUGGCGGGGCGCGCAUCUCAGCCCCCCGGGCGAGCUCCAGGCGCAAGAUGUCGAUUCUGCCCUCUGGAGCUGUCAGUGGCUCGGUCCCCUCGCCCACCUGCGGCCGGGAGGGGCGCGCCCAGGGCCCACCUGCACUAACCGCCGAGCACUGGGGGGAUGGAGGAAGACUGAGGCCGGGUAGGCUGCUUUUCCGUCCCUGAGGAACGCUGAUCGAGGCCUGGGCCCUAGAGGAGCUGCCCUGGAAAAAGUCGUUGCGCGCCGAGCAUCCUGGCCCCUCGCCUGCAGUCCUGAAUCUAGGGAGGGUCCUUCUCCGCUCGCAGAAAUAAUACUUACAGCCGAGCGACCCAGGACGGGAGCGGCUCCGGCAGGCGCGCCAGCUGCUGGUGACUACAGUCCAGGAGGUCCCCGAGGCAGCGACAUGGAGCGGGGCACUGGCGCUCCGGGGCGACCCCCGAAGGCGGCCCUAGCGCCGGAUGGCUGCCGCCCUCGGUCGGGUCUGCGCGCCCCAGCACGGUGCACAGCAGCAACCCUAGCGCCGCCGCAGGCGCGCAGAGCCUCGGCGCGCCCAUCGAGGUCCUGCGGCCUCUCGCUCCGCCCGGGGCUCCGCAGCCGGCGCGCACUCGGAGCCCUGCACCAACUUCCAGCGGGAGAGUGGACGCCCGAGCUCUGGGCCGCGUGUGCACGCGUUCCUCUCACGCUCCCAGGUGACUGGGGCUACAGGAAGUGAUGGAGACCUCAGAGAUCAUCUGGGAUGGCCCUCCUCCUCUGGGUGAGGAAAUAAACCCAGAGAAG
rnacentral:lncRNA from 1 species